UCCAGACUCCUACGGGAGGCAGCAGUGGGGAAUAUUGCGCAAUGGGCGAAAGCCUGACCCAGCAACGCCGCGUGAAGGAAGAAGGCUUUCGGGUUGUAAACUUCUUUUGACAGGGAAGAGCAGAAGACGGUACCUGUCGAAUAAGCCACGGCUAACUACGUGCCAGCAGCCGCGGUAAUACGUAGGUGGCAAGCGUUGUCCGGAUUUACUGGGUGUAAAGGGCGUGUAGCCGGGCUGACAAGUCAGAUGUGAAAUCCCGCGGCUCAACCGCGGAACUGCAUUUGAAACUGUCAGUCUUGAGUACCGGAGAGGUCAUCGGAAUUCCUGGUGUAGCGGUGAAAUGCGUAGAUAUAAGGAGGAACACCAGUGGCGAAGGCGGUCUGCUGGACAGCAACUGACGGUGAGGCGCGAAAGCGUGGGGAGCAAACAGGAUUAGAUACCCCGGUAC
rnacentral:rRNA from 1 species